AAUUUAAUAAUAAAAAUGUAAGGGCCUAAAUAUACUUGAAAAUAAUUUACUACUUUAUAAGAUCUAUAAAAAUAUUGGUUUAUGUAAUAAAAUACAAAUAAAAUAUUUUCUUAUGAAAAAUCAGCUCAACUUUAGAUCUAAAACUAAAUCCGAAUUAUAAUUCUGAACAGAUUCAAAUUUAAUUAAAAAGCAAACUCAAAAUUUUAAUUAAUAAAGUAAACCCCAAGUUUAAACAUAUUACUACUUCAGCCCAUAAUAAAAUUAACUUAAUUAGGCCAAACCAUUUAAGGCCCAAUCUCAUUCUCUCUCAUAAAUCACGUCAACACCUCCCCUUAAUCCCCUAUUUUAUUAUUCUUCACCUCACCAACUCACACACACAGAUCACACGAUAGUAUGACACACACACCAGCACACACACUCAUUGUCCCUCCCUCUCUCCUCCGGCUCCUCCGCCGCCGCCGGAGUCGUGUGAAGGGUUGUAUACUGAAAGCAAGACUUUAUGCUUGUAUACAUUGAUUCCUUAGUUCACUGUGAUUCUUCUAUCUGAAAUAUUGUUAUUGCAUAAUACUAUUAUAGUCCAAUUUAUCUCAUACUAUAGAUUAUAUGGUGUAUUGUAGAUCACAAAAUAUCAUAUAAUUGGAAAAAGUUGAGAUAUAAAUUGAGUUCACAAUUAAGGCAACUAUGGACGAGUUGCUGGUUUAGAUUGUAGCAUAAAUGAAUAAAUAGUUUGUCUUGGCUAUUUAUUUAUGCUAGUACCUUCGUGUAUUGAACAGGAUCACAGUGAGAUGAAUUCUUAUAUUCUGACUUAUUAAGAAUCAAGAUCUCGGUGACUUAAAUAAUCUUAACCUUAAUUGAAUUAAUCGGUGUGAAUAAUUAAUUGACUAUUGCUUUGAUUUAUCACGGGUGAGAGUUCUCUUGAAGCUCAAUAUACUCGAUACUUUGGGUGAUAGCAAUUAUUAUUUGACAUGCGAUUAUAUUGUAAUAAGGGUCCGUGUCCUGCUAAUAACAGGAUGAUAAUAUCCUCUCGAGGAACUUAAUAAGUUUAUCGUAUUAAACCCUGUAGGUGAAAUUAGUUCCGAUACGAUAAUAAGUUUAAGUGGUAGCACUCGAGAUGUCAUUUAUAAUUAAACGACUGAUUAAUUAAUUAAUUGAUCGUCAGAGGAAUUAAUUAAUUAAUGGAUGUUGGAUAUCUUAAACACGGAGAUUAAUUAAGUCUAAUGCUAGCCCCGACUCACUUAAAGAAUAGAGAGGUAAAUCAGUAUUAAUUUUCUAGUAGAAUAAAUUAAUACUUGUGUCUCGAUUUUAUUCUGGGCUGAAUAAGAAAAUCGAACACUGGGAGGCCAAACUUUAUUCAAGCUAGUAGAUCCCCGCUUGGCCCAAUUAAGGUUUGUACUCCUUAAGUGGGCGUCCCUCUCCUCACUUAAGCCUUUGGGCUUGGUCUGAUUUAAUUAUGUUUAUGGACUUAUUAUUUAGGUGUGACUAAUACCUAGUAUAAAUAAUAAGACAACCCUAAACCUAAUUAAUAAUUCAUUCACGUGAGAGCAGAAUAGGGAGGAGGAGACGCCAACUUUGAGGGAGAGGACUUGAAGAUAGUUGCCACCCAACGUCAAGUCUUACCGUGGGAACAAGUUGGAAGAUCAACACUGGAGUCUCUCAUCGCCGAAAUUGCAAAAGGGGUUAAAGAGGAACAGAGGAAAAGAAGAAUUUCAGAGAGGAGAAGAAGAAUUUGAAAAGGAACAGGGGGCAGAGGGAGACGGCAUGGAAUGGCGGCCAAUCGCCGGUCCUCGUCGGCCCCUCGGCAGCGGCAGUAGUUCUCUUACAGAUGGAGAAGGAGAUCGCGAGAGAGAGAGAGAGCUAGGGCUCGGUUUAGGAGAAGAUUUCCAUCUGAGUUUGCAGCGAGAAAAGAAAUGGGUCGGAGGUGAGAGGUGGCGCUGGAGUUUAGGGCCGCAGAGGCGGAUCUGUCGCCGGAUUUUGAGAAGCAACGACAGUGAGAUUUGGGGAAGGAAAGCAACGACAGCGAGAUUUGGGUGAGAAUUUAACAUCAACGUUUCAACCCACUUUUUUUAACAAUAAAUGCCACACGUAUUGCUAGAUCAUUAAAUAAUUGUCCACGUCGUUGUCGGUCAACUUUAAUCAUAGUCGGAGUUCUCGCCGUGUGUGUGAAAAUUGCAAUUAAAUCAAAAGUUUAUGUAUUAUGGAGUUAUUUUUUAAGAUCAUGUAUAAAAUACAAAUUUGAUGAAACUUCGUGUAUUUUCCAGCCA